GAUGAAGAACGUAGUGAAAUGCGAUAAGUAAUGUGAAUUGCAGAAUUCAGUGAAUCAUCGAAUCUUUGAACGCACCUUGCACCCUUUGGCAUUCCGAAGGGUAUGCUCGUUUGAGUGUCAUUGUACUCUCACACUUCUGAUCCUUUGGAUUGGGAGCGGUGGACUUGGGUGUUGCUGCUUUACUGUGGCUCACCUCAAAUGCAUUCGUGCAACUCUUGGUUGGACAUAGUACGGCGUGAUAAGUAUCUUCGCCGGCACCUCGCAAGAGGGUGGCUGAUCAGGAGCUCUGUGCUUUCCAACUGUCUUCAGACAACAACUGACAACUUGACCUCAAAUCGAGUAGGACCACCCGCUGAACUUAAGCAUAUCCAUAAGCGGAGGA
rnacentral:misc_RNA from 1 species